UGGCUACUAUGGAACAUGUGAAGUCCUUCCUUGAUCCCAAAACCACUACCAAGAUACAUGUAAAUUUCCACUGAGGCACAGACUACAGAACUCUUUUUCUUUUUUUUUUGCUUGAUAACAUUGCUUAGUGUCUAAGAUAUUCUUAUGUUUUGCCAAAGUAAAGAACGGUGUCGCUUAUAAUUGGUCGUUAGGGUUUGUUUCAGUGAAUUUAUCCAUUACAACUUUAAAAACAACGGUGUUGUAGGCAUUUUCAGACUUCAGUUCAAUGCAGGUCGUUGAUUGAAUAGGAAGUCGGUGAUAUCCUGAAUCAUGAAUUUAUUUUUCGCUAUACUGUACUGAUGUGAAUUACUAACCUUGUGAAAAUUGUGCAGGUCAAGAAAUUUCUGAGUCACCUUCGAGAUGAGGUUGAUCUGCAUGUGGUGUUGCUGCACCUAUAUUGAAGCCUUCUAUGAAGCUUCCACACAAGGUGCGGCCUUGUGGGUUUUGCAUAACUCUGGUCACUAAUUUCACAUGUUUUCUUGUGCUUAUUCGAUGUAGGAUUGAUAUUUUGGCCAUACAUAUGAUACUAGGAUUAUCCCAUGAUAAUCAGUUGGACUACUAAAUAUUUGCUUUUCUUUUCUCUUCAGCUCAUGAUAUUUGAUAUGAGAGACAGUGAGGAGCAGUGUGUUUGGCUAUUGUUGACGGUCCUUAAUUAAUCAUAGAAAAGGAUCCAAAUGCAACCAACACCUAGACUUAGGGUUUUAUCUGACAGAAUUCCAUGAGUUUUGGUGUUUGUCUAUUUCUGCAGGGGGUUAUCACGAAAUACGGAGGAAAGGCCCACAUGUCGGGUUUACAUAGAGAUAUUAACGCGCCGCGCAAUUUUAUAUCAUCUAGAAGACUCCAGAAGCCACGGGAACGAAGCAGAGGCCGAGAGGGCUCAGGGACAGGGCGCCCGCCCAAGUCCUUAGGGCGCCCGCCCUCACACGGAGUCCAAUCAGGACUCUCUUUCGCGAUAUUGCUCCACCGACCUAAAGGAUAAAGGAUAACCAUUCAAUCAAUGUCGGUUUGAUCCAACGGACCAGAUUCAUUUGAAAAGACUAUAUAAGCAAGGCCCCCUGGCCCCUGGAGAUCAUACCUCUUCUACAGAAUCAAAGUUAGGGUUUCAAUUCUUCAUCCAAGUAGAGAGGAUCCCUCUAGUUCUUCUAGUUCUACCUCUAGUUCAUCUAGUUCUAGUUCUAGUUCAUAUCGUUCUCCAGGUUCUUCAACUCAUAAUUCCGGAGUUCUUUAAUUACUUUUAUUUACAUUCAAGUUAUUUAUUGGAUUCCCGCUUGCAUCAAGUGCUCUAAUCUUUGAAACAUUAGAGUAGUAAUUAAUAGAUUAGACGUGGUGUUUAGUCUUGCAAUUACCUGGAAUUGCACCCAAUCCUGCGGAUUGUUGUGGUAGCCUUAGGGUAGUGACAGCCCUAACGGUCGACGUAUUCCACCUCGUUCGGAUCGGUGUUUGUAGGACCGUAGUCAGACCUUCCUAGCCCUCUUCUCAUCUCUUUCUGUGGUUAGUGCUCUGAUGUCCCGAAAUAGAUAAUCUUGAAGUAAUUCUUGAUUCUUAGAUCAACUAGAGAACUCUCAGGAAACUUCCUCUCUUCCCACCAAAAAUAAUUAUAUAGUUAUCCUUGGGCGAUCUUGGAUCUUAAUUAGUACACUCACGUUCCCUGUGAAAAUUCGAUACUCUGGAAUACUCCCGGAAGAAGGCUACAUCGGUAUGCGUGCGCUUGCAGAUUUUUUCUGUUUGCGUCGAAAAUACCCAACAGCUAUAUGAUAUUACGCAUUCGGUUGUUAAUUUGCAUCAUCUAAAAUGCCACCGUAGCGUUAGCACGGGUAAUACACUGUUUCUGUUGUGCUUCACUCACCAUUCCCAUCUUCGUCACUGUUUGCAUGUUGUGUGCACCCUGCCGCUUGCUGAUGGCAUGCUCUCAGUGGACGAGGGUAUUGUGGCAUCGACAUAUGGUGGCAGAGCUAUGAAUAGAAAUGAAGACCAAUGGAUAUGUGUGCAUCGGUGGCCUGCUCAAAGUCUCUAUUUCUUCGCAAAUCGCAAUCCCACGUGGACGAGAUCUUGGAGAUAUUGGCAAUACUGCUUCAUGAUUUUAUUUUAUAUUGAUGAACUGUUGUCGAACUUAUUAGGCUCUCAGUGCUACAUGCUUUUCCAAGCUAUUGGAUAACAAGUAGAGGUUUAAAAUAUAAAAUUUAUUUUAUAUCUUGGAGGAUGAUGGCAAGCUGUUGAUCCAAGCGAGCCAAGGGCACGGUAACUGUUCUCUGUCUAAAAUUUACUGCACUAAAUAGUAUAGUUGUUUCUACAGAGCAGCAUGCAUUUCUCAUGUUCACUUUUUCCUUUUAACUCGUGUAAGAUGGAAAUAUUUUCUGAAGAAUAUUACAACUUGUAUUCCUAUAAUUUGGAGAGAUGUAAUGUUCUUUCAGAUUGGAAGACCUUCAGUGUUUAGAGUUCAGAUUUCAUACUAUGUUCAGAGUUCAGAUAAACUAAUGUUCAUAUAUUUCAUAGAUAAAGAAAACAGCUUAGAUAAAUCAAGUGCCAAUUCUUAGUAUAUAAUGGUCUUGCUUCCUAAAGCAUAAAAAGAAUAAAAUUGUUUGCUAUUACAACUAGGAUUAUUCAGUUUGCUUCCUGAGUUGAUAUAUGGGACUAAGGAUUUGAGAUGUGACGAGGGAUUCAUCAAUGUUACUACCAUAUGAGUCAUUAUGUUCCAAUUGCAAAUAGAAAAAAUACACAUAGAAAUCAAAUAUGAAUUUGGGGCUGUUUUGUAUUGCGAGGGUUCAGCUAUUCAAUGAUUUAGUCCAAUGGGCCACCAACAAUAAUCAGUAGGCAAUAUUGAUAACUAUAGAUUCAACAUUUUAUUACAAGCAGUGAGCACCGAGACAAUUACUUUAUCAAGUUGUCGAUAAGAAGCAUGUAUUUCUCCAUUAUUGAUUACGUUGAUAAUACACUAACAGAACUAGAAGCCACUUGCAGUUUGGCUAAUAGCACCGGGGAUUGUUUGACAGCAAAAUCGAAGCAAUAAGGUUUGUUUAUUUUCAUUUUUUUAAACAAUAGUUUUGUCCAUGCUAGAAGCCUAAUGCCUUGACAUGCUUCACAUGUUUAUUGUGCCACUUGACUUGGGAGGAAAAGGUAGUUGCCGCACUACAAUAUUUUGUUGCCUGCUCUCUGCGGGUUCUAACUAGCACUAUGAUAUGUGUGUUUAUCCAUGUUUCAUCUAAUGUUUCUUUUGAUAUCUUACAUAUGCAUGAUGCAAUAUAUUCUGCUCAAACAUGAUAAAUAUUCUUACAUAUGAGUACCUUAGCAAUGAUAAUCCACAGAAAUCUGACCCAGUUACAUAUGAGGAACUUAUUUGUAGUAUAAAUACAUGAAACAUGGCUUUAUUGUUUCUUUUCUUAUUCAUGAGUGUAUUUCAGAUUAUAUUAAUUAACAUAUGCAAUUGUCUAAGACUAUAAACUAUGAAAAUAUAUCGUUGUUUCAUUGAAAAUAGUUACUUUUAUUAAGUAUAUCCCUAGAAUAAAACCGUAGCAACGCACGGGCACUAUACUAGUUUGACAUAAUGUUGUGGUAUAACUUGAGCUCAUUUAAUGAACUUAAUUGUUUUUAAAGCAAAGCGUGCAAACGUGCUAUGAAUAGAAUGUAAGUGGAUCGAUUAAUUAGUCGAGAAAAAGUUCAUAUAAGAAAGGGUAGAUCACAUGUACUCAUCAGUUUCAUUCACCAAAUAAACAUUAACUUACUAAGACUAGUCUAAGGGUCAGCGGUCUUAACAAGUUAUUUUUAACAGUGUAUCAAAUCUAUAUUCACCUUGGCUAAAGGCCAACGGGCUUCAAUAAAUUCGAUAAACAUUACUAGUUUAGUUAAUGUCUGAACGAAUCUUAUGUGCACUACUCAAUAAGGUAUGGGUGGAUUUGCUAAUUAGCCGAUACAGGGUCCAUACAGCAUGAACAAGAUCUAUUCAUUCGAUCAUAGUCAAAUUUGGAUUUAGGUAAGCUUGGCAUAAUAUAUUUCAUAGUCGGGUUCAAAAUACAGCCAAUAACAAGUAGAACUAAGCUAAAUCUAUUCCAAUUCCAAGUUAACUAUGAUCAAAUAAAUAUCUCAAAUGUACAACAUGUAACAAUCGAGAUCAACAGAGCUAAAAGGAGCUUGAUCGAUAUUUUAGUAAGAUUAUUGUUUAUUAAAAUUCGUCAAAAACAGUUCAAUCUUAACAUUGAUAAGGCUUAAUCUAAUAUAUCAAAUCUCAAUUGGGCAAUAAUAUUGUUGCUAUAAAUAAAACAUUAAAUACGAACAAUAUAGUUAACUUGAUGAAUCUACUAGAUUGCCGAUCUGAUAGAGCUGAUAACUAGCUUAAGUCGAUUACUUACAAGAGAUUGAAGCAAUGCAGCCUUACAAAUAAGAUCUAAACUGAUAAAUAGCUCAAAUCAAGCUAACAGAGGUCAAAUGAUGCAGACAUGGCAACAAGAUAUGAACCAUAGCAACACCGAAGGUUAAAAUCAACCGAUGCAGCUUGAUUUGUUGAAGGUCUUGCUAGGAUCUAAUUUAUUCCUACUCCUAGGGUUUGAGGCCAGAGCCGAAAAUGUUUUGUAUUGAUUGAUUGAAUAUCUCUUACACUAACUGGGCCUUCAAUAUUUAUAACCCGAAAACCUAGGCAUAAGUCCUAACAAAACAUGAUUUCAUAAAAUAGAAGGUAACUUGGACUCUAAUCUUUGCCUUCUUGAUGAAGUCUGACACGUUCUCUUCCCUCGCUUGUCGAGUCCUGACACAUCUUGAUCGAAUAUCGACAUCUGGUUCUUUGCUUAGCUGAUCCAAAUAAACUAGCUAUCUUUCUUUUAAUAGAGUGACCCCACAAGCAGUCUCGGUUCGUCAAAAUCUGGUGUCAACACAUGACCCUGAAUUUUGGGAUAAAAUUGUUUUUAUUCCAAAAUUAUCAACAUCCGUAUCUCAAUUCCGACCAGCAAGGACAUAUUUAUUACUCCAUUUACUACUCUGUCUUCUACUUCCCACCAGUCUUAAAAGUUAGGUCUUCCUCCCAUAGCCUCCACCAAACAAAAUUCAAACCCUAGACGAAUUAGGCGUCUUGGUGUGACCCACCACCUUCGAACAAGCACAAGUCUCCUGCCAACUUCUUUGAUUCGAUGGCAUCAAUCGACAACAUCCCGGAGGUAAUUCCUCUUUUCGACCUUUCUCUGAUUCCCUAUUCUCUAGCGGUCUCUUUUUUUAGUUCAAUUUUCAGGCUCUCUAGAACUGGAUCUUGAUUCUUUAACAUCCUAGAUUUUUACGUAAAACCAAAAAUAUGAGCUUUUUAAAAAUUUUCCUAUAAUCGUGUGAAACAUAUAGUUUUUAGGUUUAAACCGAGUCUAACCGCUAACAAAUCAUCGCAUUCAUAUAGAAUUGCUUGUAGGCAAGUGCCUUUGUUCAUGAGUCGUCUUGAGUAGAGUCUCGUUUCGAGUUUCUAUUGGAGUGCACAAAUCUGUAGCAAAGUCUUUUUGAAUCUUCGUUGAGCCUAUCUCAAAGGCAAAGCGAAUUCCUUCUCAACCUUUUUUUGUUGGAGUACGUCUCAAAACUCCUUUGGAUCCUUUUUCAACUCUUCUCAAAAUUCCCUUCUCCAAACCUUCCUCGUUGAUCUCAUCACUAAGUCUCUACCGGUAGAUCAUCUUAAAUUUGUGGUAACUCAUCUCAAUCUCUUUUCCCUUUCUCUCUCAAUCAUUAUAGCAAAUGGGAAAAACCUUCAUCUCAUUUGCUCCCAAAAAUGAAAUGGAAAACCCUUUCUCCUUAUUUCUUGGGCCAAACUUCGCUCUUAUUAUUCCUUUUCUCCUUUCUCUUCACUGCAGGCCCAACCAGCGCCCUCCCUCCUCCCUGCCUAGCCCUUUCGCGUGCAAGGUCCAGCGACGUAGCACCACGGCCUAGCAACCUUCCCCACCCUCGCAAAGCCCAACACCCUAUUGGCAGUCAUUAUAAGUCAAUUAUAAAAUGCCAACUUGAUCCAAAAGGAGAAGAAGCAAUCAUAUUAUAUACACACAUGCAUUUUAUUACUAACAAGUUCCACUUGUACCAUAGUGACUAUAUUUUGCAGGAAUUAUAGUGCAACAAGUGGAAAUGUGCCAUACCACGAAGAAAGCGCAAAGUACCAAAAGACGUAUUUAGAAAUGCGCAAACCAAGAAAAUAGAGAAAGGCCCAAACAACGCAGAACUGGGCCUGAUCGUAACCAUGGGAGAGAUCCAGGACCAGAGCCAAACUGACCAUGCGAAGGCGGUGGCUAGGGGGGACCCACCCAGGGUGCGGGCGCACCCUAGUGCGGGCACACCCCUGGAGGCGGCAAACAGGCCCAUCUUUCUGAGGCGGUUGCAUGCCGCCAUGCAUAGGACAGUUUCACCUACUACCAAAUUUAGAUGCGACGAACCAUCCUAGUUCCACUAUAAAAAGAGAGGCACUCCCCCCUUUUCAACACACACAUCAUUUGGAGUCAAUUUACCUCAAACCUCUCACUUGUAUCUUUAGUCUAGAUUAGUAGUAGAGCAAGGCAAGAGCUAGCAAUGAGAGCUUGUCUCCUUGGAAGAAAGGAUCUUUUUGGUAUGAAUAAUAUUCAAUCUUCUUCUAUGAGCAAGUUCUAUUUAUCUUUAUAUGAUUAUGCAUAUGAACUAGAAUACGGUUGUGUUCUUAUCAUGUUCAUAGUAUAUGAACUAGUUCUUAGUUCUUGUGCUAUGUUCUUGAUAUGUUCAUCAUUGUUCAUCAGAUUAGUAUGAUUAGGAUUAGAAUUAGGAAUGGGAUGAUGGUUCACUGUGAUGUGAUGGUUGCUCUUAGCCUAGCCUAUCACUCCGAAGGGGUGGGGCCACGAGGGUUAGGAGUUGUUUCCAAUUACGUGAACAUGGUGUUCAGGUAUGCGGGAAUGAGUGGAUGUGCGGGUAUCUUUCGGGUACAAGGGUAGGUGGCAGGGUAGUGACAGCUCUGUCAUCCUUUGCAUUCCCCCACAAUUAGGUAUUCCGAUAGGAGUUCUGUAAAGUCUCUAUCGGCUGGGUAUCCAGCUGCGGGGAUCUCCCCUCAUCUCAGGCUUAGUUCUAACUCUAUUUGUUGCUAAUUAGAUGAUCCGCUAAUAGUUCUAUGCAAAGUAAUAUGUGACCCAUGCCUGCUCAAGUAGAUUUAUUUCUUUAUUCUUUAUUUAUUAUUUCUCUUCUAUUUUAUCCUUGAGGUUGAUCCAAUGUGUGACCACUAUCUUGAAUAUCAUGUUUAUUCCUAUUUACUCUAUGUCUACCAAGCAUUCAAUAAGUAAUAAUGUUUACACCAUGUUUGAUCCCUUUGCCUUCCUACGGGAAUUAUAAAUUCAACACCCUUGAAUACUGACGGGUUGAAAUGCUACAAUGAUAGUUCUAUCUGCUUGCAGUUAUAUUACUUCUUCAUUCAUGAACUAUCGAUUGGCGUACCUAAGUACCGUUACUUAAGAUUGUAAUCCUUGUGCACUUUCAAGCGUAGUGCCAUAGCUUUGCAUAUCGCAAGUAAGGAUGGUUAGGAAGGCCAAUCCGGCAUUCCUAAUUAUUGUUACCAAACUGCACUACUAAGGCCAGCGCCCUCAAGUUGCCUUGGGUUGUCUCUCUGAUGUAGCGAUAGUUACGGUAUGCCAACACCCGACAUUUCUGGUGCCAUUGCUAAGGAUGGAUCUAUGGUAUAUUUUUAGUAGUGAUGCUAAGAAUUGCCAACACACCCCUCCCUCGGCCCAGCUACCUUCUCCCCUCUGCCUUGGCCCACCUCACGUCCCUUUCCCCUCGCUGGCCUGCUUGCACUUCACGGCCCAGAGGCCCAAGCUGCCGCGCCGCACCCUGGAAACCCUAGCUGGGCACUCCCAACCAUCCAAAGCCGCCGCCACCACCUAGGAAGGACACCCUGACAUCGCGCCCCAAACCCUACACCCGCACAACGCCCUAACCCCAGCGUUCGUGCCGCGCGAUGCACGCCACGCGUCCUGGGCAUGGAAGCCGAGGAUCACCGUCGUCCAUCCCCUAGGAGCCCUAGGCGCCGCCCCUAUAAAAGCCAUGACGACUCCCUCACCCCAGCGCUCGCCACGCCCACGACAUUGAGUGCCCGUCGCCCCCACCGCGUGUGUCAAGCUCACUUUCCCUCCUGCUCCAUCACGUGGGCACGCUCGGUGUCCCGAGCCGCGGCCACGACCUCGACCAUGACGUCACGAUGCCACUUGCUACUGCAACAUUGUCGGUGUUUUGACCCCAGAGGGUAACACCAACGAGUGAAUUUGUGUGCGUGUUCCCUUUUCCAGAUAGUUACGCAAGAAUGACACAAAGAUUUAUCAUGGUUCGAGCAAAGGAAGGCCCUACGUCUAGCGGGGGGAGAUUAUGUAUUAUCUUGCACCUAAGUGCUUGUACAGGGGCCAAUACAAGCGAACGUAGCUGAGGGUUCUGUUGAUGGUCCUUAAGUAUCAAAUUUAAUUAUCAAAUAAACAAAGAAAAGGAUCCAAUUGAAAUCAACAUCUAGACUUAGGGUUUUAUCUGACAGAAUUCCAUGAGUUUUGGUGUUUGUCUAUUUCUGCAAGGGGUUAUCAGGAAAUACGGAAGAAAGGCCCACACGUCGGGAUUGCAUAGAGAUAUUAACAUGCCGCGCAAUUAUCUUACAUCUAGAAGACUCCAGAAGCCACGGGAAUGAAGCGGAGGCAGAACGGGGCCUGGCCCAGGGCGCCCGCCCUAGAGACCAGGGCGCCCGCCCCCCUAUGGAGUCCAAUCAGGACUCUCUUUGUGGAUUACGCUCCACCGACCUAAAGGAUCAAGGAUAACCGUUCAAUCAAUGUCGGUUUGAUCCGACGACCCAUAUUCACUUGGAAGGACUAUAUAACCAGACCCCCUAUCCCCUGGAGGAGAGCACCUCUCAACCCUAAUUCAUUAUUCAUCAGGGAGAAGAAGCCUCUGACCAAGCCCUAGAGCCACCACAUCAAUUAGAUAUCUAGAUUAGCAUAGCUACAUAGGAUUAGAACUAGAAGGAGUCAAUCUUCGAUUGGUUUUUGGAUAUAUCAAGAGGAUUCUUGGUAAUUCUCUAUUGUUCUUCAAUUGUUCAUAUUUGUUCUUCGAUAUUAUGAAUAUGACUUUGUUCUACUUCAAUAUAUUGAUUAUGACUUUGCUCUACUUGUUUAUAUUCGCAAUUAUAUUGUUCUUAGUUUAUCAUAGUUAUAUACUUGGCUUAGUUAGAUUGGAAUUAUAUACAUGUUUAGGAUCGUAUAGUGUUUAUCCAUUGGAUCCAUCGGUAAAUGAUAGAUAUUGUGUAGGCGUGGUGCUUAUACCGUAUUUAUCUACGAUUGUACCCUAUAUGCCAGAUCGCGGGGUAGUUCGUGGUAGUGACAGCUCUAUUAAUUCUUAUAUAGUCCCCCUCUCGUGUAUUGGGCUGGCAGAGCAACAUUAUUACUGGGGAGUGAUUGCGAUGUUUCUCAUAUUCCUUGAUAAUAUCACUAUGCAUGGGCGUAGUCCUGUCUCGCAAUGAUUUCUAAGUAUAAUUGCACUAACUAUGAUAUGCUAGGCUAUAUAGUUAUUUAUAACUUAGGAAAUAUUCUUGUAGUUCAUCCUAAUUCCAUGCUAAUGACUUGCUAGAAUAUCUAAUUGAGGUGCUUAUCAUAUUUAUAUGUGGUUAAGUUAUGCUGAUCAGAUUAAUUAUCUUUGUCACCAUUCAUUACUUUAUAUAUCCUUUAUGUGACACUUAUCCCUGUAUGAAAGAGUUAGAUAAAUGUUCUCAAUUAUACAUGCAAUGAUAGAUACUCAAUCUUAUAUUCCAUUCUAUAAUCAACAUUGAUGCUUACUAAUUCCUUCCUAGUGGUAAAAAUAUAAAUAACGAUACCUGGAAUACUUCCCGGUUAAAAUGCUACAUCGGUAUUAAUCUGUGGGCUUGCAGAUCCCAUUUGUUAUUUAUUUAGAUGAGCAAUUGCAUAUGUCAAUACCACGUCUCUCAUGUCAUGCUAGGGAUGACAACUUGGCUUAAGUGGCAUGAGGGAUAGGUCUGGCAUUUUUGGCGCCGUUUUCAGAAUUAGAAAACUAAGUCUACUUUUGGUAAUGACGUUAAGAAUACCCAACAGGUUCUAAGUCCUAGCCGGCUGUGGGAGUGUGUGAAUCUUGUUCUAUGGGUGUCUUGGAUGUGUCUUGGAUGAUAUCGUCCUCGGCGUCCCCUUUUAUAGUUCCAAGGGGAGGCCUAGGUUACAGGAUGUUGGUGUUUGAGUAGACCUCGAUAGGGGUAUGGCGCUGACCUAGUCGAGACCUCCGUACCGGCGUGGCCUCAAGCCAUCUUGUUACAGGUUACUUUGGUGAUGAUGGCGCGUGCGUUCUCUAAACUUAUCUCCUGUACAUCGCCUAGUAUUUGCUUGGGCGUGAGCAUGCUCGUACGUCAUAACAGUCGCCAUGUUCGGAGUGGUUGAAGCGCUGACUUCUAUCGCUCGAUCCUUCCUUGGGAAGGAGCGUGCCUGCUCAAGGGUCAGACGGCACGGGCAGCUUUGUUAUGCAGGAGCGCUGACUUUGAACGUCUUGAGGGGUGUCGUGAUGGAUAUCACGCCUACUGUACUAUGCCGAGUUGUAUUUUUUUCAAUCUUGAGGAUAAAGCUAGAAAAGGUGGAGAUUUGACGUGUGCUUGUUCCCCUAUCAUGCUUCCCGUGACUGUCAGGUCAGGUGGGAGAAUGGCAGUCGCAUUAAAUGCUCUGGUUCCUGUACCUACAGCAGGCGGCGUGGUGCGCUUUUGCGCUCGAGGCUUGCAGAUUCGCUCGGCACUCUUUCCAUAAUCCACGGUUGCUGGCUAUCGAGCCCAUGGCCGUUUGCUCGGCCGUAUUUCUAUAUUCGAGGUUAGGGUCGUUACCGUGCUGUGGGUCCAGCUGCUGCUUCGAUGAGCCCAUGUUCAUACUAGAUUGUCGAGCCUGAACCUCGAUUUGUCCUUGGACUUUUCUGUUAUUAAUGUUUGUUGGGGCACCCCUUAUAGAUACCCUCGACAGUAGCCCCCGAGCCCUUGUUUGAGCACUUGUGCUCGAGCAGGGGUUCUAUUGGUGGUCGAGUUUCCGUGGGGGUCGCGCGAGCGACCCCAUGGGGUAGCCCCCGAGGCCUUGAAGGAGUCAUGUACUCCUUUGAGGGCUAUAUCGCUUUUUCAAAUCUGACUGUUCUCACAUUUUCCUUUUUUAUUGAAGUUCGUUCAUUUUGGGAGGGAGCCCCCGAGCCUUGUUCGGCUAUUUUCCCCCUUUGAGGCUAGGAGCUCGAUGUACUCCCGAUGGCAUCGUCGUCCUGGGUGAGCUUCUAUCGGGUAAUCCAAGCGAUAACCCAUGCCCCGUUCGAUGGGGUUGGCUGUAGCCCAGAGGCGUUCUCGUUAAAGCCAGGCUAGCGUGGUCGAGGAUACUGGUCUCGUUCGAUAGAGCUGUUGAUGUUCCUUAAGUACUAAAUAUAAUCAUCAAAUAAAUAAAGAAAAGGAUCCAAAUGCAACCAACACCCAGCCUUAGGGUUUUAUUUGAUAGAAUUCCACGAGUUUUGGUGUUUGUCUAUUUCUAUAGGGGGUUAUGAGGAAAUAUGGAGGAAAGGCCCACACGUCGGGUUUACAUAGAGAUAUUAACGUGCCACGCAAUUUUCUAUCAUCUAGAAGACUCCAGAAGCCACGGGAACGAACAGGAGGCCGAGUGGGCCCGGGGGCAGGGUGCCCGCCCUCCCCCCUUGGGCGCCCGCCCAGAUGUCUCAGCCAAUCAGGCUCCACUUCGCGGAUUAUGCUCCACCGACCUAAAGGAUUAAGAAAAACCGUGCGAUUAAGGUCGGUUUGAUCCGACGGCCCACAUUCAUUUGGAGGGGCUAUAUAAGUUGGCCCCCUGUCCCCUGGAGGAGGGCAAUCACAUUAGUCAUUAGCAUAUUUUCCAAAGAGGAUUCAGAGAGAGAGGUCCCUCUAGGGUUCCAACCUCAUAGGGCUUAGCAUCCAAUGUGAGAUUAGAAUUAGUUCUUCUAUAUUGAGAGAGAUAGAGUGGAGGUGUAGAUCGGAGGAAGCCCGGCCUGUCGGUGUCUACUCCGAGGUUGUACCUGCGGGAUCAAGUCUCCUAACCUGAGGCUUGCUCCUAGGAUUCUUUAGUAUUUCAACUUCUAAAUUCUAGUAAGUUCUUUGUUCUUAUUGUUCUUUGGUUUAUGAGUUUACUUUAAUCUCUUCCGGUAGAGUUUAGAGUAAUCAUUGCUAGCGUAAACGUGGUGUUUGGGCUAGGGUACUCAUAGAUAUCCCCUAUCUAGCUGGACCGUUGUAGUAGCGAGGAACGUGACAUUUCCGUAGCUACCUUUGUAGCCCACAAUCCCGUUAGCAGGAUCGGUAGGGUUUAUAGGUGCGGGUCGAACAUCCUUUGUGGUGUCUAGAUUCCGUAAGCCCCCCUAAUAGAACAGUAGAUUAUCCUUACCAAGGUUAGAACGAGAGUGCGGUUGUAGUCUUCUCUAUACAUCGCUCACAUCAAAUCACAUUGUUUGUAGCCUAAAGGGGAGUAGCAAUAGAUUUGGUUAGUCAGAUGCACGCUUUCUCCUAGUGGUAAAAAUAUAAAUACGAUACUCUGGAUAACCUCCCAGGUGAAGUGCUCACCGAUAUCCAUGCGCUUGCGGAUCAUUUCCUGAUGGCGUUAACAAAUAUCAACAAACAUUUCUGGCGCCGUUGCCGGGGAGAAAGACGGAUUGCUGAGAUAACUUCGAGUCUUGCUAUUAUCUUUUAUUAUACUUUAAUACUUUUAUUCUUUUAUCUUUUUAUUUUUUCCAUCUUUAUGGAUAACUCAAAUUCCACACCUAUUAUUGAAUUUUUUGUACCUUCGGAGACCAGCCAUAGACCAUAGGAGUCAACAAGUCCUUUCUUUGCCCCUAAUUAUGAUCUGUGUCCGGAGUUGAUUGUAAUAGGUCAAAACCAACCCUUUUCUAUAGCCGAGGUCCUAUCUUUUAAUCAAGAAGAUAAUGAACUUUUAGCUACACCUAGGGAAUCUUUUAAUCUUUCUAUAAAUUCUAGUUGAGACCUAGCCCUACAAGACCAUGUUUUUCCUCGAUAUUUUCACAUUGGUCUUAAUCAUAUAAAUUUGGUAGAGUUUUUCUUUCUUUAUCUGUUAGUAAAGCAAGGUAUGUCUUCAUUUGUGGACAUCCUUCUUGCACUAGUCUUCAUAAAAAAAUCCUAGAGAUAGAGAAGGAAUCAUCUCCUAGACGAGAAAAGGAAGUUUCAAUAGCUGAUUUCCAAACAUUUCAAUCCCAUGAUUCGGCUAUCCAACCCAAACUAGUAGUGGUCCAAAAUCAUAUAUGGAAAGAAGAAAUUAUACCUUUGGAAAUUGAUUUUGGGAUGAGCUUAAACUUCCUGCUUCAUAAGAGACCUUUGAGUGCAUAAAGUCUGAACCUUCCUAAGAAGGGAUCUCUUAGAAAGCAUCUCAAAUCCAAUCCCUUUGAUGGACAUCUAGAAAGAGUCAAGGAUGGCAUCUUAAGUGAUGCAAUAGAAGGAGAGCGAAGCCAUUUAGAAGACAAUCUCAUCUUCUCCCCUUCUACGCCCACUUUUGAUGACUCAUUCAAACCUAUCUUUAAUCCCAUCCUUGAGCCUAAUAAUUUCUACUAUGCUCUUUCUCUUGAACCUCUCGAUGAUCCUAUGAAUCUCUCUAGACAUCCUAUGCAUAAGAGUCACCAAGACCACAAGGAGGAUCGAGAAGAGCAACAGCAAUGGCUAGAGGGCAUUAAAAAUCCAUGUGCUAUCACCAUUGAAUGGAUGGAUUAAACAAACUUGACAGACAAUCCUAGAGGAAUUUUAAGAAUUCAUGAAGAAUCAUCCUUGGAGUUUGAGAAUGAGAGAAACAACAGUGAGCAUGGAAGUCAUUUCAUAAAUACCUCUCCAAGUCCUUGCUCAUAUAAAACAUCUCCCCAAUCAAUUGGUCUCUCCAACCUUACCACAUUUGAGAUCUCCAACCCCGUCUUCCUUUUCUAUUUAUAAAAACUUUAAAGGGGUGGUUAUCGAUGCAUAUGUCUAUAAUAAAUAUUGCAGAUAUCGUUGAGUCGAUCUUGAUAUAGGCACGCUUAGGUUGGUGUUGGAGAGGAAACCACUUCACCAACAUAAUUUGAUGGUUUCCCAAGGACAAGCUUAGUGUCCUAAAACAAGCACUUAACAGAUCGUAACAUGAACUUUUAAUUAUUUGCAACAUUGCCUUGUGUAUUGAGCAUAUAAAUAUAAUUGUAGAAAUAUUCCUUUGGGUAUUCGUGUCACUAACCUUUCUAGGAUUGGAGCAAGAAGAUCCGAGGAAUGACAAGUGCAAGGUAUGCCCAACCAAUCAUCAUGCAACAUUGAAUUAAAUUCAUCCAAUCUUGAAUUUUGCAAAAUUCAAGCUUGGGGGAAUACCUUACAUAAGAACAUCCUUUGCUAUAUUGCUAUGUUGGUUGUCCCUACUUUUGAGGCAUGCUCAAUUUUUCAAAACACUAAACUUAUUUUUCAUCUCCACCUGAGUAGAUCUCUAUAAAUGCUGUCAUGCUACCUUUGUCUAUUGACAAGCAAGUGUUGGUUUCGAAGUACUCGACAUACUUCCAUUGGCAUUUAAAUUAAGCGUGGUGCUUAGGUUAAAUAGCCUUCCUUAAUAUGAUUAGACAUGGAGUCUUGUUUGGUUACUGAACUAAAAACUGCUUGAGUAGACAUUGGUAUAUUUUGUCGGACUAACCCCUGCAGGAAAACUUUCAAUAUCAACCUGGGAAGUCCUGAGAUACAAACUCACAUUGGAGACAAAGGAGACACAUGGUGUUUAACGAUUUGCACAAGGAAGACAUAGCUCACUCAUCAUAGAGAGAUGAUCCAUGGAACGAGAUAAAGAGUGCCACAAACACGGUGCACAACCGCUAAGAAAGGAAAGCUUCCACAAGGUGAAAUUGUACAAUCACUCUUCAAGUAAGGUAACAUCUUAAGGUACUUGACUAUCACUUUUAUAAGCUUGUCCUUGGUUCUGGCGUUCACAUGAAUAAAGAGACAAACAUAAAUUAACCAACCCAAUUAAUUCAACAUGUUUAGUCCUUUAAUCUUUGUUCUUAGUACUACCUUUGUGAUCCCACACUACUAAUCAUAUAAGCUAAAAUGUUGCACAUUCAAUCUCUGGAAGAUAUAAAAAAACAUAAAUAUAGAUAGGUUAUCUUUUCAUUAGGUCGAGCGAUCUGAUCUGAAAAAUGUUUUAAAUGCUACACUCAUGAUCUUAUUAUCCAUCAACUUUGUCUUGCUCACUAUGCUUAAGGUUAGAGAAGAACAAAUACACUUUUGGUUCUAUUGGUGUUUUUCACCAACAGGGCCCAUGCACUUGAUCUCUGCCUUGUCUCUAUGAGCAGGUACACUUCGAGCAAAACCAGAAGGAGUUUUACAACUCCCAGAUUCGACCAAGUGAAGGACUUGGAUCUACGAGUACAAACACACUGAGCAGGAUGCUGCCAAUGCCGCACCUCAAACUGGUAGACAAACGAAGAACAUGGGUGACACCGUAUCAAGUGGUGCAGAUGUCAAGGCCCACACCUAAUCAAAUGAUGCACCUAAAGGAUGAACAUGGUGAGAAGUCUUGUACAGAAGACUUAAAACAUUGGAUCCUUGCCAGAAGGUAAAAUUAGUAUUUAACCAUAUUUAUCUUUUCUGCAUUCUUUUUCCUUUUUAUUCCAUCAGUUGCAUUAGCAUAUUUACUUUUCCACAUUAGCAUUAGAAAAGAAAACAAAAAUAUUUGUUCGUUCCACUGCAUCAUAAAAUCUAAAGUCCCAUAUGAGUAGACUUAUGGUUUAAAACCCAUAGGUAUAUUGACUGUGGUGGCAUAAAAUAAAUAUGUUUUCAUCUUACACUAAAAAUAUAAAAAUAAUAAGUGCAUGAUCCUGCUAAAUAAAUAAAAUUUAUUAGGAGGAAUCUCAAUAUGAUAAAGGCUAUGAGAUUUUAUGCUAACACUUAACCAGUUCCACAAAGCUUUGUUGUCUAUUUGAGCUCCACAGAAUUCAAGGAUCAAAGAAGACUAGCCGGCGGAGGACAUAGUAAUCGCUGUGAGGGUGCUGCCGACAUUCAAAUACACCUCCGUCACUUGCUAGCUACAUCAGAAGAAAUUAUGUCAAAAUCCAGCUUAGGGGAGAGCACCCCCAUUUAUCCAACUAAGUGUUUCUACUCGCGUUUAUACUUUACUCAAAUAAUAAAAAGAUGCAUAAUCAUGAAAACCCAAAUAAAAAUUUUGUGCUUAUAUAUAUCUUUGCUUAGUUUGCUAAAUAAAUAAAUAAAGUGUCUAGGCCAAACUGAACUUAAAUGAUAAACUCUUACAUGGAUAUGAUAAAUAGUUGCUCUGCCAUGUCCCUAGUUUUCAAGUUUGAGCUCUCUCUCAAGUUUAGGCAUAACUGUUAUAAUUUAAACCUGCUCUAAACCUGAACUUGUGGGAAGAGUACUUGAUCUAAAGUCUAAGUCGUUAACAGAUAUGAUAUGGAAAUGUUGAGUUACUAUUUAUCUGUUCCUAGAGUUGCUAGAAUUCUGGAGAAUAUUAUCUUUGAAAAUCUUUAAAAUAUUGCAUGAUGAGUUCCUGUAUUAUAAGAGUUUAAAUUCCUACCACAACCAUAUAUACAUGCUUAUUAGACUAUGAACCACAUAUUUACUUUUUACUGUUUAUGAGCAUUGAGUGUGGUCAAGCUGUGUAGACCCUUAGGAGCUUGUCAUGCGGUUAAAAUCAAGAUUCACUUGCACAUUCACUCAUACAUGCUACUUCUACUCCGGAAGUACGCAUCCACAUACAUCCACUCAAUUCCAUCUCCGAAUUCACCUAAAAUUAUUCUACUCCUAUCUAGGAGAGAAUAGCCAAAAACUUUUUCAUAUCCCUGCUAUUCCCUAUGAAAUAAAUGCUCUAGUUAUUUUGGUUACUACCACUUGCUACAUUAUUCCAGGAGGGUGACUGCUCAAAAAAUGAUGAAUACAAGAAAAUAAAAAGGGGCAAGUGCCCAGAACUUCAAAGAAAAGAAAAAGUGAGACGAGAGAUAAAAAUGGACAAGUGUCCGACAGUAGAAUUAGGGGUACAAGAUACCCACCUGAGAGAAAAUAAAAAAAUAUAUAAAGCAUCUCAUUCUCCUCAAAAAAAGAUUCAAAGUGCAAGAAAGGUAUGUAUCCCCAAAAAAGAGCAAAAGUAGAAUUAGACUUUCACCAUUGUUGUCACCAUCAUCACCAUACACUAUUCACUCACCACACAUGCACAUCUUGAUUUGACUUAUUGACUUGUUCUUCUGGAUCCAUGGUUUGACUAUGCAAUAAUUGUCUUGUAAGUAUGUAUUAUCUGUCUCCCGCUUAUGAGCUCCAGAUAUCAAAACCUUGUUAGAGUAGGGUGAGAGAGAAGGCAAUAUCACUAUGCCUUGUACCAAAAAUACCACAUAAUUUGAGAGAAGACAUAUACCAUUACUGCCUUGGUAAGGAUCUAGAAAUACCACAAAAGAGAGAUUUGAGAGAGUCAUACAAGGAAUCUCUGAGUUUUAUUUGAAAAUCUGCAAAAACUCCAGAGCUAUAGUUAAACAAAGAACAAGAGACAUGGCGCUUGACUAGACGGUUCUAUCUUUUAACUGCUCAAGACACAAGUGACGGUUGCAAGCCCCAUGGUGAAAGGUAAAAUGAGUAAGUUUUAAGUCUUAAAAGUUUACUCUAACUCAGAGAUGAGAUCUUGCUUGAACGCAUGUGUACUUUUAAGGCCUGAAACCACUGCAGAAACUCUUGAGUUCAUCCUUGCUCACGGACGAGCAAGAGGUAAGCUUGGUGGAGUUGUUGAUGGUCCUUAAGUACCAAAUAUAAUCAUCAAAUAAAUAAAGAAAAGGAUCCAAAUGCAACCAACACCUAGACUUAGGGUUUUAUCUGACAGAAUUCCACGAGUUUUGGUGUUUGUCUAUUUCUGCAGGGGGUUAUCAGGAAAUAUGGAGGAAAGGCCCG
rnacentral:lncRNA from 1 species